rnacentral:rRNA from 1 species
UACAGAGGGUGCAAACGUUGUUCGGAAUUACUGGGCGUAAAGCGCGUGUAGGCGGCUUCAUAAGUCGGGUGUGAAAUCCCGCGGCUCAACCGUGGAAGUGCACUCGAAACUGCGAAGCUAGAGUCCUGGAGAGGAAGGUGGAAUGCUCGGUGUAGAGGUGAAAUUCGUAGAUAUCGAGCGGAACACCGGUGGCGAAGGCGGCCUUCUGGACAGUGACUGACGCUGAGACGCGAAAGCGUGGGGAGCAAACAGG